AACAGGUGUACUUACUGGUUAGUAAUACAUGAACGCCUAGGUAGUUAUACAUGACCUCAGAACAUAAACUUCAUUGAGCACUUGAAACACAUAACAUACAAGAAUGAGGUGCGAAGCUGCGAAUGCUGAUGGAUCAACACUUCAGAUUUUGCAAGCACUUGACAGUUCAAUGUCAAAAGAACAUCCACACAUCCACGAACUUUAUAGAGGACACACUUAAGUUCAACUGGUAGAAAUACAAGUUGUGUAGCCCUCGUCAGCAACACAAAAAUCUGUAGAAAAAUGUACCCAUUCUCAUGGGCAUAUCAACAAGUAUGUUCAGAGCAAAAUGUCUUCUGCCCUUCUCCAUAGAGAAACCACUCGAGUUCCUCUUCUUUUCCUCCUUGAUGAGCCACUUAGACUUGAAUUCGUACUGGCUGUCCACAUCCAACAGCUUCCAUGAGACGAAGUUGUGGUCGAGAGGCCACAGGCUUGGGCGUUUCCUCAGCAACUCGUGCACCGUCCUGGGAUGCGUUUGAGGUGAGACGCCCGCAAGACCACACACAGACAACGCCGAAACGCCAAGCAUAGCCGCGACCACGCACACACGAACACAAGACACACAUAUGCGCUGUGAGCGACUCAAUGAAGACGUGCAUCUACAUGGUCACAUGGAUGCGCGUGGAAGGUGCAGCCCACAGUCGGCGGUGGUCAGUUCGAAGGCGGGGAAUCAACAAGGUCGCGACAGGAAAUCAGCACGGCGGUGGCAACAUAUUCAGACCUGUCAAUUGUUAAGACGAAUAUGAGAGUUCAGAGCCAACUUCUUGUUUAGUAUCAACAUAUUCAGAGUGAACUUAGAUGCCCACAUUAUAGCAUGAGUUCAUGGCAGAAAAAGGUGAUACUCAAGAUAUUGAACUAAACUAAAAUUAUAUAUUGAACUUAACUAAAAUAAGAAUUAAACAGAAAAUUAUAUAUUGUGGAGUAACACACACAAACCGAACCGUGAUCAAGAGUGUGACGAUCCAUGAACCUGCCCCGAUGAUGUUUUUGAACUUCAUAUUUCAGCAAGAAAUAUAUUGAAUAAAAAUCUACGAGAAAGAAACUUACAACAAAUUUUGUUGAAGCGCCACCUGAGAACUCCUAUAGGUCAUACAGAAGAUAAACAAAAGAUGAGUUUAGUGUGGUGGAGCUGGUGCAUUACAGCGACCUCGCCAGAGAUGCAACACCCCAACACGCGAGCACCUCACAUAUAUAUGGGAACAGUGUUAGACUGCUAUAUUGAACUCACAUAUUGUAUUUUCAACAUAGAACUACUCAUUUUUUAUUUUUUUGAACUUCUAUAUUGAACUCUUUUUAGAGGUAUGCCCGUGAGCUUCCCAACUUUUCUAUUUUUGAAUGAAUCAAUGGGGGUGUACCUUUUCUUCCUAUUUUGUUUUUACCAUGAACUUGCCAGGUUUUGGAGUUCGAACUUACUAUGUGAUUUUUUUCGAACUUUUCCAAGUUUUUAUUUAAAUUCGUAGAGAUCAGCAAAUUGUUUUCUUAUAUAGGUCUCAAUGAAACGCCUUUUAACUUUCUUUUUGUACAUCUUUUCUGGUUUCUGGUCUUAAUCUUAUUUCCCAACAAUUUGUUUUUUGAACUGGUGUAAAUUCAUGUUGAGAUAAUUAGAUUUAUGCCCCUAGUUGUGUCCCACUCGUCCGUUUUACCCCUAAUUCCCAAAAGUCACUGGUUCUGUCCAAGUCACUUUGCUCCUAUUAUGCUUUUGCCCUUUGACCGUUUGACCAUCAGUUUGAAAACUUCAUAACUAAUUCAUACUAAAUCAGAAAAAUGCAAAUAAGAUACCAAAAUGUUUUAAAAAACAUCACCUAUGUGUCAGUGUCAUUUGCAUUCAUGAAAAAAGUGUUGGAAAGUGCCCAUCCGAGUUUUAGCUCUUAUGCUACCACCAUGAAUAGUAAAAUCUAAAAAAGUUCAAAAAAAUUUAAAAAAAUUGGUGGCAAAGAAUGGCAAAUGUUUUAAGUGCCUGCCAAGUUUCAUCAGGGAAUAACAUUCGUGGGUGCCGUGACAAAAAAAACAAUCAGCACUCCAAAAUAGAUUUUUUUUUGCCACGACUUCCAUGAAUGUCGUUCCCUAAUGAAACUUGGCAAGCACUUAGAACAUUUGUUGUUCUUCGCCACCAUAUUUUUUGUAAUUUUUUUGAAUUUUUUUAGGGUUCACUAUUCAUGGUGGUAUCAAAAGAGCUAAAACUCGGAUGUGCACUUUCCAACACUUUUUUCAUGAAUGCAAAUGACAUUGACAUAUAGGCGAUGUUUUUCUAAACAUUUUGGUAUCUUAUUUGCAUUUUUCUGAUUCAGUAUGAAUUAGUUAUGAAGUUUUCAAACUGACGGUCAAACGGUCAAAGGGCAAAAGCAUAAGAGGAGCAAAGUGACUUGAACAGAACCGGUGACUUUUGGGAAUUAGGGGUAAAACCAUUUAUGUUUGACCUUACUAGCUCUUGGUCAGAAUAACUCAAGAACGAGAUGGAACUAGAGAAAUAUGACAGGUCAAAUAUGGCAAAAAAGUGCAAAUCAAACUGUUUGUCGGAUGGGCAAAUGUACAAGUUCACAUAAAAAGAACAAGUUCAUGUACAGUAAUAUAGAAGUACACAAAGAUACCUAAAUAUAAUUUAUGUACUUUGAAAUAGUUUGUUUUACUUCCAAAAUACUUCAUUUGUUUUGAAAUAUGAACUUCUAUAUUUAUUUCCUUAGAACUUAUAACAGAGUAUGCAGCACAAUUAUGCUUCAUAUUUGAACUUCUAUAUUUAUUUCCUUAGAAUUAUGCUGCAUGCUCACACAACAUCAGACCCAAUUUCUGAACUUGCAAGACAAUAGCGGUAGUGAAUAUUUUUUAUUACCUUCUUUGUAGAGGUAGCAUUAAGAACACUAGGUAAUAGCUAGGAGCUAACAGGAGGUGCACCAACAGCUAGUGGCAGUAGGUCGAGGUCGUCCUGGAUGCUGCUGGAAACGAGAAGCGGACGAAGGUCAAGGUCGCCCUAGUUUCAAAAAUAUCACACAACCAAGUACUGAUCCAAAUCAAUCAUUGUUCAUAUCUCCAAAUCUAGUGCAAAAAAUUAGAAGCUACUGUGUAAAAAAUCUAUGUUGAUUUACUCCAAAACACAAAAAAUGUGAAGAGAAUAUUCAUCGCACACUUUUGGUCUGCACCACAAUGUUCCUAGAACUGUACACGUUUCAGAACUGAAAGAAAUUUAUGAUUAUAAUGAUGAAUUGGCCAUCAAGCAUGGCACGAGGAGCUCGAACGGAGAAGCUAGGAAGAGCUGGACUGGUGUGAGUCCUAUAGCUGGACAGGGAUGCGAAAGGCGACACCGGAGGACUACGGCAUCGGUGUCAACAGCGUUGCCCUACUGGAUCCAGCGGGUGGCUUCUCCGGGGGCGCGAGGCAUCGGGGGAUGCCAAAAUUAACAAAGGUAAUUGCUAAGUAUGUAUCAAAAUGGGAAGGAAGAAAAAUGGAACUUAUAGCUCAAAAUUGAUCUUGAAUAGUGAUGUCAACUAGUACUACAGAAAGUUCUGGUCAGUCCAGUAACUUAUUAAGUGGUAAGUCGGUAAGAGGACUAGCAUUCAUAUCUGUUGGAAAAAAAUAUCCAAGUUGGCAUGGUUUCUGUUGAACUGAGGCUUUGUGCUGAAACUGAACCAUGCUUGGAAGCCUUAUGCUGAAUAAAACAAAAUUUGGACAUAUAAUACAUACUGAAUCACAGCUUUUUGCUUCUUUUUUGUAUGAAUUGCUCGUAUAAUACACACUGAAUCACUAUUUAUUUUAUUAACAAAUUGCAUUAUACUAUUGAGAGAAUGUACCUUUCAGCAGCAAUGCAUUGAACCUCAAAAAACUCAAGAUUUGUACCUCGACACACCUUUCUUCUCCAAUGUCACUACCAUCGUAACAUAAAAUAGAGAAACCUGGAGCAUCAGUGGGUUAAACACAUGCAGCAACAUCAAAAGAGGAACACUA
rnacentral:lncRNA from 1 species